rnacentral:rRNA from 1 species
AUUGAACGCUGGCGGCAGGCCUAACACAUGCAAGUCGAGCGAGCGGCGGACGGGUGAGUAAUGUCUGGGAAACUGCCUGAUGGAGGGGGAUAACUACUGGAAACGGUAGCUAAUACCGCAUACCAUCAGAUGUGCCCAGAUGGGAUUAGCUAGUAGGUGGGGUAACGGCUCACCUAGGCGCCGAUCCCUAGCUGGUCUGAGAGGAUGACCCGCCAAACUGGAACGAGGAAACGUUCCAGACUCCUACGGGAGGCAGCAGUGGGGAAUAUUGCACAAUGGGCGAAAGCCUGAUGCAGCCAUGCCGGGUGUGUGAAGAAGGCCUUCGGGUUGUAAAGCACUUUCAGCGGGGAGGCGUUACCCGCAGAAGAAGCACCGGCUAACUCCGUGCCAGCAGCCGCGGUAAUU